CUAACCCCCCCCUUAAAAGAUUUAGAUGCACUAUUGUAAAGUGGUUGUUCCACUGGAUAUUAUAAGGUGAAUGCACCAAUUUGUAAGUCGCUCUGGAUAAGAGCGUCUGCUAAAUGACUUAAAUGUAAAUGUAAAUGUAAAUUCGUAGGUGAUCGAAUAAACCCCCACUUCCUUCCAUUCUGCGAGCAAAUGUGCAAUCUCUGGAGAAUAAAAUAGAUGACCCACGCGGAAGAUUAAACUACCAACAGGAAUUUCAAAACUGUAAUAUCUUAUGCUUCACAGAGUCGUGGCUGAACGACGAUACUAUCAACAUACAAAUGGUUAUACGCUGCACCGACAGGAAAGAACAGCGGCGUCUGUGACCAUACGUACAUACCCCAACCAGAAGCCAUGGAUUACAGGCAACAUCUGCACAGAGCUAAAGGCCAGAGCUGCCGCUUUCAAGGAGCGGGACUCUAACCCGGAAGGUUAUAAGAAAUCCCGCUAUGCCCUCGGACGAACCAUCAAACAGGCAAAGCAUCAAUACAGGACUAAGAUCAAAUCGUCCUACACCGGCUCUGACGCUCGUCGGAUGUGGCAGGGUUUGCAAACCAUUACAGACUACAAAGGGAAGCACAGCCGAGAGCUGCCCAGUGACACGAGCCUACCAGACGAGCAAAAUUACUUCUAUGCUUGCUUCGAGGCAAAUAACACUGAAACAUGCAUGAGAGCACCAGCUGUUCUGGAAGACUGUGUGAUCACGCUCUCCGCAGCCGAUGUGAGUACGACCUUUAAACAGGUCAACAUUCACAAGGCCGCAGGGCCAGAUGGAUUACCAGGAUGUGUACUGCGAGCAUGCGCUGACCAACUGGCAAAUGUCUUCACUGGCAUUUUCAAGCUCUCCCUGUCCGAGUCUGUAAUACCAACAUGUUUUAAGCAGACCACCAUAGUGCCUGUGCCCAAGAACACUAAGGUAACCUGCCUAAAUAACUACUGACCCGUAGCACUCACGUUUGUAUCCAUGAAGUGCUUUGAAAGGCUGGUCAUAGCUCACAUCAACACCAUUAACCCAGAAACCCUAGACCCACGCAAUUUGCAUAUCGCCCUAACAGAUCCACAGAUGAUGCAAUCUCUAUUGCACUCCACACUGCCCUUUCCCACAUGGACAAAAGGAACACCUAUGUGAGAAUGCUAUUCAUUGACUCCAUCUUAGCGUUCAACAACAUAGUGCCCUCAAAGCUCACCAAUAAGCUAAGGACCCUGGGUCUAAACACCUCCCUCUGCAACUGGAUCCUGGACUUCCUGAUGGGCCGCUCCCAGGUUGUAAGGGUAGGCAACAACACAUCGCUGAUCCUCAACACAGGGGCCCCUCAGGGGUGCGUGCUCAGUCCCCUCCUGUACUCCCUGUUCACUCAUGACUGCACAGCCAGGCACGACUCCAACACCAUCAUUAAGUUUGCCGAUGACAAAACAACGGUAGGCCUGAUCAUCGACAACGACGAGACAGCCUAUAGGGAGGAGGUCAGAGACCUGGCCAUCUGGUGCCAGGACAACAACAUCUCCCUCAACGUGAUCAAGACAAAGGAGAUGAUUGUAGACUACAGGAAAAAGAGGACUGAGCACGCCCCCAUUCUCAUCGACAGGACUGUAGUUGAGCAGGUUGAGAGCUUCAAGUUCCUUGGUGUCCACAUCACCAACAAACUAACAUGGUCCAAGCACACGACAAAACCUAUUCCCCUUCAGGAGACUGAAAAGAUUUGGUAUGGGUCCUCAGAUCCUCAAAAAAUUCUACAGCUGCACCAUCGAGAGCAUCCUGACCGGUUACAUCACUGCCUGAUAUGUCAACUGCUCGGCCUACAUAGGGCAGUGCGAACGGCCAAGCUUCCUGCCAUCCAGGACCUCUAUGGUGUCAGAGGAAGGCCCUAAAAAUUGUCAAAGACUCCAGCCACCCUAGCCACCCUAGUCAUAGACUGUUCUCUCUGCUACCGCACGGCAAGCGGUACCGGAGCGCCAAAUCUAGGACCAUGAGGCUUCUAAAUAGCUUCUACCCCCAAGCCAUAAGACUCCUGAACACCUAAUCAAAUGGCUACCCAGACUAUUUGCAUUAACCCCCCCCCCUUUACACUGCUGCUACUCUGUUGUUAUCAUCUAUGCAUAGUCACUUUAAUAACUCUACCUACAUGUACACAUUACCACAACUAACCGGUGCCCCUGCACAUUGACUGUACCAGUACCCCCCCUUUAUAUAGUCUAGCUAUUGUUGUUUUACUGCUGCUCUUUAAUUACUUGUUACUUUUAUUUCUUAUCUGUAAUUCUUUUAAACUGCAUUGUUGGUUAGGGACUCGUAAGUAAGCAUUUCACUGUAAGGUGAAACUUGUUGUAUUCAGC
rnacentral:lncRNA from 1 species